CUGCUACCGAGAAACAGGGAGAGAGGGAGUUAGGAGAGACAAAGGGAAGUAAGAAGAGAUUUGUGUCGGUGUUGAAGUUUAUAACUUCAGUCUGUACAGUGUGGCUCCACACAGACCCACAUCAGCAUGGGGAAGAAAAAAGAGGAUCAAGAACAGCAGCAGUCUGAAUAUGGUGUGUCCUGUUACUUUGAAUGUUUAAACAAUAAAUAGCUCUGAAUGUCUACUCAUGGUUUUAGCCUUCAGUUUUGUCUGUGAAAACUGAUGUUAUAAAGGAUAAACUAACAUGACGAUCAGAGAGCUGUGUAUGGGAGAAAAGCAAGCAAUUUUGAAGCUGAGGAAAAAUCAAUCAGAGUCAUGGCUUGGGCUCGCACGGCUGCUUCUGGAACGUUCUCACUAAUCUUUAUUGAUGAUGAACUCAUGAAGGUAGAAGCCGAAUGAAUUCAGAAGUUUACAGGAACAUUCUGUCUGCAGAUUUACAGAAAAUGCAUCCGAAUGAAUCAGACGAACUUCAUCAUGCAGCAAGACAACGAUCCAAAACACACUUCCACCUCAACACAGGACUUCAUCAGGGGAAAAGUGGAAGGUUUUAGACUGGACACGUCAAUCACCAGACCUUCACCCAACUGAUCAGCAUCUCACCUCCUGAAGAGGAGACUGAAGGGAGAACCCCCCGAAACACACAACUACUGACAGAAGCUGCAGGAGAAACCUGGAGAAGCUUCACAGGAGAAGAAACCAGCAGUGUGGUGUCAGUGAGGCGCAGGAGUGAUGCAGUUACUGCAAGCGAAUAUUAAGUCUUAUUUACUAAAUAUACUUUAAGACAUAUCUGUUCCAACACUUUUGCUCACAUAAAAAUUGGAUGGUCUGAUACAAAAGGUUGUGUGUUUUAUGUUGCUUAACACGUCUAGAUGUAAAUAUCAUGAAAUAAAAGCUGAAAUCCUAAACUCUCAUCUCCAUCUCCUGAUCGCAAAACCACCUGACCUUGCUGUUCCAAUAGAUUUGGAGGGGACUGUAUGUAUUUUUUUUUUUUUACUUAGCUUUUUGUUCUUAUUUUACUUUUAUUUGUUUUCUCUUAGCAUCUUUUAGUAUCUCUCUCUGACUACUCAGUGUCUCUCUCUCUCUCUCUCUCUCUCUCUCUCUCUCUCUCUCUCUCUCUCUCUCUCUGUUCUCUCAUUGGUUGUUCAGUGUAACGUGAUCUGUUCUCCACCUGUAAAACAGGUUCUCGGAGAUGCAGUACAGUAAUAUUUACUGAUGGCUGUGUUUGUGAAACUUCUCAUAAUGACUCUCUUUAAUAUUGAAUCUAUUAAGUAACAUUACUUGUUACACUCCUAGAUUUAAUUCAAAUUAAAAAAAGAAAAUGUUUA
ensembl:lncRNA